rnacentral:sRNA from 1 species
AGAAUGUAUUGUCAGUCGCAGUGGCUACACCGGUGAAGAUGGCUACGAAAUCUCAGU